UAAUUACUUUGGAUUUGUAAACAGGUUCUGUUGCACCCGGAGCAGGACAGAGUGUUAACCAUCCGUGAAAAUGCGCGACUGCAAGGGUUCCCAGAUUUCUAUCAGCUUUGUGGACCUAUAAAAGAAAGAUAUAUACAGGUAGGCAAUGCUGUUGCUGUGCCAGUCUCUAGGGCACUUGGGUAUGCAUUGGGUUUGGCAUGUCAAGGGAACACUGAUGAGCAGCCUUUGCUAGUUCUACCUCCUAAAUUUCCUAGUCAUAUUGAGCGGGUAUCAUGUUCAAUUGAAAGUGAUGAUGCUAAUUGUUCCAGUAAGGAUGAGUAAUUUUAGUAUCUCGUAAUGAGAAACUUUAUUGUUUGAAACGAUUCUCUAUCAAAUGUUGUAGUUUUUCUUGGAGAACAGAGACUACAUGUUGUACUCGAGAGAAGUUGAAGUGCAGAGCCCAUGUUCUAAAAGGUUAUUUGAAUAUGUGGAUAUGCCAAUACGGAUAAAUGAUGGGCAAGGAGAAGGUGAUAAGAAUGGAAAUUUACACUGUGGAGCAAGCUAUUCCAACCCGUAUUAGUGUUCUAUCUUCUCUGUUAUCAUGAUGUCUUUUCUCUCAGUGAACAGAAACACUAUGUUGUAUUCCAAAGAAGCAGUUAUAGUCAAUGUUCUAAAAGAUUUUUGAAUGUAUUCUCAUGCAGAGCGAAUGGAAAUUCCAUGAGCUAGUUGACAUAUUAAGAAAUGGAUGGCUGUCUAGUUUGUGGAAAA